rnacentral:rRNA from 1 species
GAUGAACGCUGGCGGCGUGCCUAAUACAUGCCAGUCGAGCGAACAGACGAGGAGCUUGCUCCUCUGACGUUAGCGGCGGACGGGUGAGUAACACGUGGAUAACCUACCUAUAAGACUGGGAUAACUUCGGGAAACCGGAGCUACUACCGGAUAAUAUAUUGAACCGCAUGGUUCAAUAGUGAAAGACGGUUUUGCUGUCACUUAUAGAUGGAUCCGCGCCGCAUUAGCUAGUUGGUAAGGUAACGGCUUACCAAGGCAACGAUGCGUAGCCGACCUGAGAGGGUGAUCUGCCACACUGGAACUGAGACACGGUCCAGACUCCUACGGGAGGCAGCAGUAGGGAAUCUUCCGCAAUGGGCGAAAGCCUGACGGAGCAACGCCGCGUGAGUGAUGAAGGUCUUCGGAUCGUAAAACUCUGUUAUUAGGGAAGAACAAAUGUGUAAGUAACUAUGCACGUCUUGACGGUACCUAAUCAGAAAGCCACGGCUAACUACGUG